rnacentral:rRNA from 1 species
ACGGGAGGCAGCAGUGGGGGAUAUUGCACAAUGGGGGAAACCCUGAUGCAGCGACGCCGCGUGAGUGAUGAAGUAUUUCGGUAUGUAAAGCUCUAUCAGCAGGGAAGAUAAUGGCGGUACCUGACUAAGAAGCACCGGCUAAAUACGUGCCAGCAGCCGCGGUAAUACGUAUGGUGCAAGCGUUAUCCGGAUUUACUGGGUGUAAAGGGAGCGUAGACGGCAAGGCAAGCCAGAUGUGAAAGGCUGGGGCUCAACCCCGGGACUGCAUUUGGAACUGUCUAGCUAGAGUAUCGGAGAGGUAAGUGGAAUUCCUAGUGUAGCGGUGAAAUGCGUAGAUAUUAGGAGGAACAUCAGUGGCGAAGGCGGCUUACUGGGCUUUAACUGACGCUGAGGCUCGAAAGCGUGGGGAGCAAACAGGAUUAGAUACCCUGGUA